GUGGGGAAUUUUGCGCAAUGGGCGAAAGCCUGACGCAGCAACGCCGCGUGGAGGAUGAAGGUCUUCGGAUCGUAAACUCCUGUCAGUGGGGACGAAAGCUCCGAAAGGAGUCUGACUGUACCCGCUGAGGAAGCCACGGCUAACUCCGUGCCAGCAGCCGCGGUAAUACGGAGGUGGCAAGCGUUGUUCGGAAUUACUGGGCGUAAAGGGCGCGUAGGCGGCUUGGCAAGUCAGAUGUGAAAGCCCCGGGCUUAACUCGGGAAUUGCAUCUGAAACUGCUUUGCUUGAGUCCCGGAGGGGGUAGUGGAAUUCCCAGUGUAGCGGUGAAAUGCGUAGAUAUUGGGAGGAACACCUGUGGCGAAGGCGGCUACCUGGACGGUGACUGACGCUGAGGCGCGAAAGCUAGGGGAGCAAACGGGAUUAGAAACCCUAGUAGUCC
rnacentral:rRNA from 1 species